UACGUAGGUGGCAAGCGUUGUCCGGAUUUACUGGGCGUAAAGAGCGCGCAGGCGGUCGUUCAAGUCGCGUGUGAAAGCCCCCGGCUCAACUGGGGAGGGUCACGCGAUACUGAUCGACUCGAAGGCAGGAGAGGCGAGUGGAAUUCCUGGUGUAGCGGUGAAAUGCGCAGAUAUCUGGAGGAACACCGGUGGCGAAGGCGGCAUCCUGGACCAAUACUGACACUGAGGAGCGAAAGCCAGGGGAGCAAACGGG
rnacentral:rRNA from 1 species